UGCGACAACAGAUCCGUUUACAUCGAAUGUUUUCAAAUUUGAUAACAAAGUUUUCAAAAAUGCUUACAUUGUUAUCACUUUUGACUACAAUCUAUGCUACAAUGCAUUGCAAUGUUGCCUACCUAAAGGCGCAUCCAUUCUUGAGUACCUUUUAUGCGUUACGCAUCUGUCAAAUCUCAGUAAGCCGUGGAGAGAACAACAUAAACAAAACAAAUAAUCGAAUAAAAAAAACUCGUUCCAGUUAGUUCCAAGUUCAGCACGUAAAGGAAUGGCGCUUACAGCUGCAGGAGCCGAGCAGUGAACAGUGCUCGAUCCGGAUGUUUCGCACGAAACUGCUGGAAUGGAACCGUCUGCCAACUCGUCCAACGCUGUGGCGUUGGCGAUUCCACGACCACGGUGAAAGAGGACGUUCUACAGGACGGCCACCAAAGGCGGCGGUCAAGUUUGAAACGUUCACAUCAGUCGGGCUGCGGAAUCGGUUCUGGACAUGCUUCUGCUCCAGUGCCAAUUAAAAACAUCAGCACCAAGCUCAACACUUCCCAAAGCUCCAAGUCUUCUACCAGCGCAGCCAUUUCGGCCGGAAGUGGCAAGCAGACGUGGUUCUACAGCACAAACCGAACAAGCUCAUAGAUAAGAAUUGGAAUUGUUUUAGGUAAGAUUUUUUAGAUCAUAUUCAAAGCCGGGAGAGGCAAAGCUCGUCACACCUUUAUCAUUUAUUUCUAUUUAGAGUUUUUUUUUAUCAAUCACCUGUACCUGUAAUCAUUUUUUGCUAGCUAAGUAUGUUCUUUUUUCUAAACUUUACCUGUAUUAUUUUAAAUACAGAUCUAUCUCAAACUGUU